UACACACCGCCCGUCACAUCAUGAAAGCCGGUUGUACCCGAAGUCCACUCCGUUAACCGCAAGGAAACAGUGGCCGAAGGUAUGGCUGGUGAUUGGGAUG
rnacentral:rRNA from 1 species